GCAUGCAAAAACAAUAAAAGGAAANGGACAGGUUUGAUUUUUGGUAGUAUUUGGUUAGUAUUUGGAUGAGAGACCUCCAGGAAAUCCCAAGGCUGUAAGCU
rnacentral:rRNA from 1 species